GCGAAAUUAAUUCAGUGGUAGAAUGUCUGCCUUCCAAGCAGAACGUCAGCGGUUCGAAUCCGCUAUUUCGCU
rnacentral:tRNA from 1 species